ACUGGAGUCACCAGGCUGUGAGCACCUCUGCUGCUUCUGGGGUCGCCUGGGUCUCAUGUUCCCCCGCUGGUUCUCUGUGGGCUUAGGUGCUGCUGCCCUGUGCACCACCUGUGCUGCUGCUCCUAGCCACAAGCACUGUGCCUGCAACAGCAGUUGAAUGAAUGGCAAUGAAUGGGGUCCCAGUAUACAAAGAGAGCUGCAGGGCAAGGUUUUGAGUAAGAAAGGGAAGUGAUAGAAAUUGUGCUUCAGGGAUCAUGGUCUUUUAGAAAUUGAAGGGAACUUACAGUCGUGUUACAUAAUCCAACAUCAUUGAAAUUUCAUGAAGCUCUGAAGACAAACUGGAAGCACUGACUACAAACCUAUUCUGUUCAAAUAUGUUUUGCUCAUUCACUUCUCACAGUAGACCUAUGAGGUGGGUCUUACCCCUUCUUUGGUGGUUCUUCCUGUCCUGUCUUUGCAUCUUUGAACACAGUUUUCAUUUGUUUCUUUUGUUUUUGUUUCUUUUUUGAAGAAGAUUAGCCCUGAGCUAACGUCUGCUGUCAAUCCUCUUCUUUUUGUUGAGGAAGACUGGCCCUGAGCUAACAUCCGUGUCCAUCUUCCUCUACUUUAUAUGUGGACGCCUGCCACAGCAUGGCCUGCCAAGCAGUGCGUAGGUCUGCACCCGGGAUCUGAAUUGGCAAACCCCUGGCCGCUGAACCAGAAUGUGUGAGCUUAACAGCUGCGCCACCGGGGUGGCCCCCGUUUGUUUGUUUCUUAUUCAGUGAGACAGCCACCUUCCUUCGCGGGACAUCUGCUUUGGAACACUAAACUCUGCAAAUCAAAUCUCAUCCAUGACAGAAUACCCUGCAUGUGGUUCUCCAUGUGGAGGCCGAGAUUUCACACUUUGUAUUUCCACUUGAUGAUAAUUCUUUUUAAAAAGUAUUUUACCACUUUUAAAGAAAAAAGUCCCCAAUGUAACCCAUACAUUGGACAGGCACCAUCCUUAGGAUAGAAUCAAAAUGCAACUUUACUUUUGCCUCUAAUUAUCCCCAAACUGAAAUUUGUUUGGUUUUUCCCUUGGCACUGGAUGAAAACUCGAGCAGUAACAGGGAGCUCUAUGGUCACUUUAAAUAAUAAAGCACAGUUCGGGGCAAGAUACUAUUCAACAACUCAAUCUUGAUUCUAGAUCGUUCUUCUCCCAACCACUCCAGCUCGGGCACGAUUUCAGGCUAGGACUCGUGGUGAGCUGGCUGGAGCUCCCAGCAGCUCACAGGGUCCACUUGUGGGCUUCUCUUCCCAACUCCGUCUUCAGUGGCAUCCCCUUGGUAGCUGAGACGGCCAGGCCCGGAGUAUCUGCACCACGGAAAUGGGCAAACGCUCCGAGGCAGGAUUUUACACCUUGGAGAGCCUGUGUGCUGGUUCAACAUUUACCAGCACAACACUGCCGUCCAAGAAAGACCUAUGAUCCACUUCUCAUUUCUUUCUUUGCCCUUCCUCCCUUCCAGGCUCCAAGGGCCUCCAGGAUCGGAGUGUAGAAAGGGCAAGAAGUAGGAGGCCUGCAAGUUCCUCCUGGCCUGGUGCUGUCAAAAGCCAGCUUCCCGCUUUCCCGGGCCUGAAAGCGUUUUCCUCAAUGCUUCCCUGCUCGGGGCCCGGAACAGCGUCUCCCAGGAGACCCGCAGUGUUCUCGCAGCGUGGGUUACCCCAGGGGCACCAGGACCACCAGCGGCUUUAACUGCAGAUUCUUGGCCCCACGCUGAACUUCCAAACGAGAGCGGGGCCCGGAGUCUGAACUUUGACAAGAACGCGCGCCCAAACGAUGCUGACGCCACCGGAGUUUGAGCAACACUGAAGGGCGCUUCAUCCGUGUGAAUACACGAGACGACGGUUUCCGUUUCGGGUCCCUUCCCGGCCUUCCCCUCUUGCCAUGAACGUCACAACUGAAGCCUUUAGAGCCUCAGCUAAGGGACAGCGAGGGCCUUCUGAGUCCCUUGCAGGUGGGGAGUGAGGAGGGAGGAGAACCAGAGUCAGCUUUUCAGGGGGCUCCAAAGCGCCCCGCGCUCGUCAGCGGCGCCCGCGCGGUCGCGGCCUCCGCGGGAUCCCGGGCCCGUGGUCGCCGACGCUCCGCGCUUUCCCGGCCCAAACGGCCGGUCGUGCCGCCUCCACGGCUCCGCGGGAACCGCCACCGAAAUCGAGGACGGGUUUGGAAACCACAGGGCAUUUCCAUCCCUCCUGAGUGCUGGCAGGGAGGGACUUUCUCCGGGCUUAUACGCCACCUUUACAAGCCCACCACUGCCUACUUUCGGCGACACAGUUCCUGCCUUUGGCCGUUGAGUCAACAGAACAGGCCCGGAAUGUUCCAGGCCUCUGGGCAGCCCUCGCUCCUGUUUCUUGAAAGACGAACUUUGAGGGGCCGGGCCGGGGCCCAGCCCGGGGCAGUGCGGGGAGAGGGGACGGCGGCCUGGCCGGGCAGGGCCGGAGGCACCAGGGACAGGGUGCCAGCCCCGCUGCGGCCUCGGCGGGGGCGGCUUUACAGCCCCCCGAUCCCAGGCCCUUGUUCUUAUGAACGAGGCUAAAAUUCAAACACCGGCGCUUUUGUCCUCUGCAGGAUUUCUUGUGAGGAAUUAUGAAGGAUGACUCGUCCAAUCCAGGGUCUACAUCGGUGUAAUGUGCUAUCUAGAACUAGGAGACCGGAGAAGUCCACAAAAGACGCGAACGGAGAAAGAACAGAGACCUGAAGGCGCCCCCCCAACUUGAGGGGACGACUGGCGGGCAGCCCGGAACGGUUGAAGCGGCCGCGAGGUGUGCGCAGGCGCACAAGCAGGUCCGCUGCCGGAAGCUCAGUGUGGCUGGGCGGGCCGAAGCCGCUGCGGCAGACUCAAUUUGUCUAGGUUCAGCGUCGCUCUUGUCGUCUCCCACAUGGUCUAGCGGUUAGGAUUCCUGGUUUUCACCCAGGCGGCCCGGGUUCGACUCCCGGUGUGGGAAGGCAAGUUCUUUUUAAGAGAAAAAUCCAUUUUCGGCGCUCCUGAGUAAGGAGAAGACGUGUUUUUAGAAAACGCCAUACCGCAUUUCAGAGCAGCCCGGGGAGAUCGGGGCUCAAGGGACUCAGAGCCUAGCCAAACCCGGCGCCCGGCAGGAGCGGGAGGGAAGGAAACAGCUCGCCAUAGUGUGAAGUUAGGUUUUGAAAUAAGGGAUUAAUUCUGAAGUGAAAAGCCAGAAACCAAACAGUCCCUGCUAAGGUAUAUGUUCCAGUUGGUUUUCCUGCCGUGAUUUCUCCUUGCAUCGUGGAUAUGGAGUAAAUUACCAACAAGUGCUCUUCUUUGAAAGAAAAAAGACGUAUUUUAGGUCAUUAUAGGGCUUUUAAGUUGCCUAAAGCCAUUCCUUUGAGGACAGCAAGAUUUCCAGAAAAGUCAUUAUUAAGGGCAGAGUAGUUCAGUGUACAAUCAAUCCAUUGUGUGUGCGAUUCAAAGAGCUCACUAAACCAGUGAUGGGGGGGUGGCGGGAGGAAAAAAGAAAUUUAGGUUAUUACAGAUAUUGAGGAGUGAGGCAAUGGCAGAGACCAACACUUUCUUCUCAGGCCCUAACAUAUUUCUUUGACACAUUCUGUUUGAAAAACUUAAAAGAUUUCAUGAUACGCUCAACUGGAAUUAGAAAUCUUAGUAUUGAUGUGUGACAAGACCGUUUCCAACUGUUAACCCAAAAAUCUACAUCAAGGGAAGAAUCAGAGAAAAGCAAAGAUACAGAUUUAUGAACAAGGAUGUUUUCCUUACAGCACCAUCUGUCAUUAAAAAUAUUUGAAAUGAUA
rnacentral:tRNA from 1 species